rnacentral:rRNA from 1 species
ACUGCGAGUGAAGCGGGAAAAGCUCAAAUUUAAAAUCUGGCAGUCUUUGGCUGUCCGAGUUGUAAUCUAGAGAAGUGUUAUCCGCGCUGGACCGUGUACAAGUCUCCUGGAAUGGAGCGUCAUAGAGGGUGAGAAUCCCGUCUUUGACACGGACUACCAGGGCUUUGUGAUGCACUCUCAAAGAGUCGAGUUGUUUGGGAAUGCAGCUCAAAAUGGGUGGUAAAUUCCAUCUAAAGCUAAAUAUUGGCGAGAGACCGAUAGCGAACAAGUACCGUGAGGGAAAGAUGAAAAGAACUUUGGAAAGAGAGUUAAACAGUACGUGAAAUUGCUGAAAGGGAAACGCUUGAAGUCAGUCGCGUCGUCCAGGGAUCAACCUUGCUUUUGCUUGGUGCACUUUCUGGUUGACGGGUCAGCAUCAAUUUUGACCAUUGGAAAAAGAUUGAGGGAAUGUGACAUCCUUGGAUGUGUUAUAGCCCUUGGUUGCAUACGAUGGUUGGGAUUGAGGAACUCAGCACGCCGCAAGGCCGGGUUUUUAACCACGUACGUGCUUAGGAUGCUGGCAUAAUGGCUUUAAUCGACCCGUCUUGAAACACGGACCAAGGAGUCUAACAUGCCUGCGAGUGUUUGGGUGGAAAACCCGAGCGCGUAAUGAAAGUGAAAGUUGAGAUCCCUGUCGUGGGGAGCAUCGACACCCGGACCAGACCUUUUGUGACGGUUCCGCGGUAGAGCAUGUAUGUUGGGACCCGAAAGAUGGUGAACUAUGCCUGAAUAGGGUGAAGCCAGAGGAAACUCUGGUGGAGGCUCGUAGCGAUUCUGACGUGCAAAUCGAUCGUCAAAUUUGGGUAUAGGGGCGAAAGACUAAUCGAACCAUCUAGUAGCUGGU